rnacentral:tRNA from 1 species
GGGGAUGUAGCUCAGUGCUAGAGCGCUUGCCUAGCAUGUGUGAGGCACUGCGUUCUAUUCUCAGCACCACA